rnacentral:rRNA from 1 species
GACUACUACGUUGAUAGGUUACAGGUAUAAAGGUGGUGACAUCAUAGCCGAGUAAUACUAAUUGCCCGAAGCUUUCUUC